UCUUCGAUGGUCUAGUGGUGAUGAUUUCCGCUUGUCAUUACAGUGUAUUACAAGCGCGGGAGACCGGGGUUCGAUUCCCCGUCGGAGAG